CGGCCAUCCGUCGGCCUCCUCACGCGGAUAAGCCCUCUCGGGCGAACUCUAAACAUCUCCAUUCCCCUCCCCUUGCGCCCCCUUUUUCCCGACCCCCACCUCACCGCGCGGUCGUCGCCUUGUCAUCGUCGUCCCCAUGGCCAACUACAUCCCCGCACCGCGCCACCACGUCCCGGAGCUCCCCCGACGCCGUCUUCGUAUAGUGUGAGGAGAAAUCGGGCUGAAGGGCCUCGCCUCACCGGGAUCGACCCCGACUUCACCUGCUGCCAUCGCCGCCGUUUUCGUCGAUCUGCUUCACUCAGGCCUUCCCCAGCUUCACCGACUCGCCUGCGAGCACCGCGUAGACUCCGAGACUGAUGCUGCCCCUGUGAUCGACUACGUUGACGAUGACACUUCUUCCUUUUUGCAGAGCUUUCAGGAUGGAGUCUAGGAGCCAGAUGCCACCGUCGACGACGACUCUUACUACA